GGCUCAGGAUAAACGCUGGCGGCGUGCCUAAGACAUGCAAGUCGAACGGAGAGUUUGUAGCAAUACGGGCUCUUAGUGGCGAAUGGGUGAGUAACGCGUUGGUGACCUGCCCCGAAGUGAGGGAUAACAGUUCGAAAGGACUGCUAAUACCACAUGUGGCCAGCGGAUUUAGAAACCGCUGUCUAAAGGAGUAAUUCGCUUCGGGAGGGGCCUGCGUCCCAUCAGCUAGUUGGUAGGGUAAUGGCCUACCAAGGCUACGACGGGUAGGGGGCCUGAGAGGGUGGCCCCCCACAUUGGCACUGAAACACGGGCCAAACACCUACGGGUGGCAGCAGUCGGGAAUAUUGGGCAAUGGGCGAAAGCCUGACCCAGCAACGCCGCGUGUGCGAUGAAGGUCUUCGGAUCGUAAAGCACUUUUCGGAGAGAUGAGGAAGGACAGUAUCUCCGGAAUAAGGAUCGGCUAACUACGUGCCAGCAGCCGCGGUAAAACGUAGGAUCCAAGCGUUAUCCGAAUUUACUGGGCGUAAAGCGCGUGCAGGCGGUUUGGUAAGUCGGAUGUGAAAGCUCCUGGCUCAACUAGGAGAGGCUGUUCGAAACUACCAGACUUGAGGACGGUAGAGGGAGGUGGAAUUCCCGGUGUAGUGGUGAAAUGCGUAGAUAUCGGGAGGAACACCAGUGGCGAAAGCGACCUCCUGGACCGUUCCUGACGCUCAGACGCGAAAGCUAGGGGAGCAAACGGGAUUAGAAACCCCGGUAGUCCUAGCCGUAAACGAUGUAGACUUGGCGUCGGUGGGGUAAAAGCCAUCGGUGCCGAAGCUAACGCGUUAAGUCUACCGCCUGGGGACUACGGCCGCAGGGUUUGAACUC
rnacentral:rRNA from 1 species